GGAGACAAACAAAAAGGAGUUAGAAAAGUGAACUGCAACUUAAAGAGAAAACAUUUAGGUUUUAAGGGUUUUGUACAUCAAGUCCGUGCAGCAGAGCGCUGUACUGUACUAAAGCAGACAAAUGUAGUACUGUAUCUAAACAACGGCAGGCAGAAGGGCUUUUUCUUUCUUUUUUUUUGGGAACCAAGCCAUCUUAUCAUACUGAGGUCACCCCAAUUGUCCUGUGUGCUUGCACAAAGCACCCCCUUCAAUGCUUCGGCUUUGUUAUCAUGAAAACAACACAAUUAACCCCCUGUCUGUUCCAUCUUGCUGCGCUUCCAGGUCCUUUUGGGUCUUGUCUCUCUGAGGGACCGGCCAGCAUCAAAGCAUGAUCAAAUAAUUCCCUCCCCCUCAUCUAUACAUUGUGGCGUGAUCUAUAUAGGGCAGCUGCAGCAGCUUUGGUUUGGCUUUUUGACCUCACAUGCUUGCCCUUCUGCACCACAGGAGGACUGCUAUGCAGCGUGCACGAUAGCUGGCACCCAGGCACGGGCUAGGGCUGACUGCCUCCGCUUCAAUGGGUAACACGAGCAUCACAGAGGGCAAGACUGCCCUGGCAGUGGGGAGUACCUCCAUAGCCAGGGGAAAGACUACCGUGUCCUUAGGCAACUCCUCCAUCUUCAGGGGAGUGACCACCACCUCCAUGGGAGAUUCCACCAUCCAAAGGCAAAAGACGACUGUGGCUCUGGGACGGGCCAGCUUCAGCCGGGGAACCACCACCACCUCCUUCCGCAAAGCGCUGACGUCCAAGCGCAGGAACACCUAGAUGGAGAGGGAACCCGACCCGAGGGCGAAGACACCCAAAGCAGCCAAGCAGUCCAAAAAAGACUCUAACAAUGAGUGGAAAACUACAUUCUCAUCAAGCAAGACCUCCUUCACCAAAGGCAGGGUUUCGUUCCUGAGGACAAACUUGUUCAUCUCCUGGGGAAAAUCCUCGUUUUCCUGGAGCAAAACCAUUGUAACUUUAGGCAGCAACAGCAUAACGGUGGCUAAAACUUCGGUGACACGGGGGGAGACCACAAGCUCUUUCAUGACUAUUACCUUUACCUAUGGGACCAAGUCUGUGUCUGUUGUCAAGACCACCCUCAUCAGGGGCAAAGAAAGGCACAGCAACAUCUACUGGAAUUUUCACACUUGAAUCCUGCACACAAAUAAAAGCUCAUGGAUGUGUCUGUGUGGUCAGUUUUAGAAGUCCUGGCCUAACCAGCAGGAUCAGAUGACACUGGCAAACUCAACGCUAGCAGCAGCUGCACCAAAGGAAACACCCUUUCUGGCACUGGACUGGAACAAAAAGUCAAGAUUUGCUCUCUCGUAGUUUGGGUCAAAUCCAAAUAGCAAAGCAGGUUCUCUUUUUCACAAUUCCCCUCUGUAAAGAAGCGUCAAAGCAAAGUGUUUCAUGGUCAGCGGAGGUGCAGACGGAUCAGGGAGUAAGAUGGACAGUGAGGGUGUUUGAUUAAGAGAUAAUAAGUGUGUGAAUCAGAUCGGUUUACAGGAGAGGAAUAUAAGUGUGAGAGUAGCUCCAUAGUAAGUGGAUCAGCUGAUGAUUUGUCCCAAAAUGUACUGAAACCUCUGCUGUAAUUAUAGAUACUUGAUAGAAGUAGGAAUGAUUAAGGAAUCAUGAAACAUGCUAAAGAAAAGUUGCACAUUAUAACAAGCACAUGCAAAUUUGAAUAAUUGUUGACGCAUUUUGACAGAGAAAGGUGGAAUAAUGCACAAAAUGAUGCAAAGCUGCACGUCCCACCUGCAUAAACGUGAAUUUUUGUGUUUACAACAGCGGAUUUUUAUCAUAUUCUGUAAAAUCACACCUCAGAAGAGCAGGUCAUGUCUUUUCCCUCCCUGAGCCUUUUGUAACUCUUCCCAUCACCUUUCUCACUCAUCGUAUUUAUUCCUUCUCAGGUUCUCAGUGUCCACAGCAACACUCAUCCUGCAGUCACCGACCACCACGGAGAGGCUAAAAGCAACAAAUCAGUCAAUUUGAAACCCAACAGUACAGGAUGUGUACACUAUCAUCAUUGCUUAUUGAAAAACGUUUGAUCAAAUUAGGCUCAGAUUGGCUUAUUCUUGCAUGUCAAAUUUUCACUCUCUCCGGGAAGCCUCAGCUGAGUUAAAGUUUAAAAAAAACUGUUGCUACUGGCAACUGGACAUGCUACACCAUGUUAUUUCUCCAAUUUCAAAACUGCCACCACAGAUUCAAGCCAGGAAGAAACACUCCUAUUUAAAAUCCCAUCAUCAUUCAUAGCUUUCAUCUUGUUUAUUACACGAUGAAUGGUGCAGAACUGUUCCCUGAAAUGAUGCAAAUAUUUGCUCAAGCUUCCAGGUUUCCCUUCCCUAUACGCAUGCGCCCUCUGUUGUAAAUGUAUCUCUGAUUAAAGCAGCCUCAGCUCGCUGAAACACUGAGCUGAGAUCAGUUAUAUAGGACUCUGACAAGAAACUUUAAAAAGAAAAACAAGAAUUUUUUCCUCCUAAGGCGAAACUGAAACCGUGUUUUUUCCCCAACAAAUUAAGAAAUGAAAGGGUUAAUCUUUUACCACUGAGAAAAUAGACUUUUUACAAUUAUACACACAUACAUCAGGAUAAAAGGAAGGCUUGGCAUGCUGCACUAAUGAAAAGCACUAACAUCAUUUAGCUCACGUAGUCAGCCAGGUAUCUGUGUCUGGAUUCUGGAUAACUUAUCAGAAGAACGCCCAGGCUGCCGUGAUGACCAGCCAAAGGGGCUGCUGCUCAUUCAGCAUCUACCCCCAUUAAGGCUACACGGUCAUGUAACGACUACUCAUGUCAACUCAGAGUGGGCUAGAAAGGUCAGAAAUGUGAUGGAAGAGAAGAUCGGACAGAAACAGAGAAGCAACCUGGAGGAAAAUCUCCUUUAAAGUGAACUUAAUCAUUAAAAGAAAUGAGGAAAAUAAAGAAUUUGGAGUGAGCAUUACUGAUAGAAAGUAUUUUGAGAAUUAUUUCUGUCUCGUCUUGUGUGUGAUUAAACUGCUUCAAUGAUUAAAAGUGUCUUAGCAUGGUCAGGGCAAACUGAAUCUGUGUUUGUGGUUCCUCAGUAAUCUUUGUGUUGAAAGUCCAGUGUGAGAUUGUUUUGUUAUUUUCUUUGCAGGCAUGCUCUGCUUUGUGUUGUGUGUUGUGGCUCAGUGUAUCUCACUUUAAUGCAAAAAGGACCAUAAAAAAAAAUAAAAAUGCUUGACUGUGUGUCUA